rnacentral:lncRNA from 1 species
AUGUACAUUAUUGUCUCCGGACGGAAAACUUUGCACCAUACCAGAAUGCAGCCAUGUCUCCUGAAACCACCUCUCUUAAAACAGAAAGAAAAAGAGAAUCAAGACAGAAAGCAGCAAAGAAGGUCAUUACCUGAUAAGAGGAUCAAUUCAUUAUGGAAAUUAACAAUCUGCUUGACCAGAAGCAUCUUGAUUGGAAUCCUCAUAACAAGAACUGAAACUAGUUAUGGAAAGAAGUGCAAAUUUGACAAUGCCACCAAGAGCAGACCAAAGAGGAAUGCUUGGAUCUUAAGAAUGGCAGUAAUGAAGAAGUUAGGUAUUGCUCAAAAUACCAGGCUCCACAAAGGGAUGUCUGCUCUAAUGGUAUUUAUUGAUCUGUAUUAUGUUGGAGUCAGCCUGAAUAAACAGAGAUGACCACUACAUGGCAUCAGCUAAAUUGCUGUGGUGCUCUACAUAGCUACAGAGAAAUCUUGAUCCACCUGAGCAUGGAAUGAUACUGAAGAAAGCAAACCUAAAAGGCUAAGAGUCAAACCACACUUUCUUAGGGAGCAUACUGUUUUCUGUCUAUAAAUGUAUCUUCAUCUGCUACUGUUACCAACUUCUACCAAUAAAGAAAUGCUUGUUUUGCUUCA